CAAGCGUUGUUCGGAAUUACUGGGCGUAAAGGGCGCGUAGGCGGCCUGUUAAGUCGAACGUGAAAUCCCCGGGCUCAACCCGGGAACUGCGUCCGAUACUGGCAGGCUUGAAUUCGGGAGAGGGAUGCGGAAUUCCAGGUGUAGCGGUGAAAUGCGUAGAUAUCUGGAGGAACACCGGUGGCGAAGGCGGCAUCCUGGACCGAGAUUGACGCUGAGGCGCGAAAGCCAGGGGAGCAAACGGG
rnacentral:rRNA from 1 species